rnacentral:lncRNA from 1 species
UGGUCGUACAAGAAGAACAGGAGGGCGAUCCCCACACAUCAAAACCCUAAAUCUUCACCAAACUUGCAAAUUGAAGGCUCAAUCCAAGUCAAAAUCGAAAAUCAAGCAUAGAUUAUUGAUCCCCAUGGCAAGAGGGUUGUAAGUUUGACUCUUGACAAGCUAGAUGGAGGCUUGGGAAUGAAGCGGGUCAAACGGAGCAAGUACGAAAAGGAAAGCGUAAUUUGGAUGCGAGGAGCGAAUAGUAAUUUGGAUAAUUGCGUCGCCAUAGAAUAUCGGUCAUAAAAGCAAGGUGUUGAAAAGGGUCACUAGGGUGACUCGAGCCAGGUGAAUGUCGAGGGUCCCGGAUGAAGAUCGAGCAUCGAGCAAGAACCGAACACACAUUAAAUAAAGCUUCCGCAACGUUGUUUUGUCGUUAUUCUAAACGGCGAUUUAAAUCACAUUAUGUAUAUCACUUAAAUUGUAAAAGUUUUUAACCAACCCGUAUUUCCGAUGUAUAUAUAAUCAUUAAUUACAUGAUUAUUUUCGCAAAAUAUACGUUAAGCCUUGAUU